rnacentral:lncRNA from 1 species
GCUGGAGCCCAGGAGUUCAAGGCUGCAAUGAGCUACGCUGGUGCCACUGUACUGCAGCCUGGGCAACAGAGUAAAAAAAAAAAAAGAAAAAAGGGAAAAAAAAGAAUAAGUGCUUAUUUUGUUCAUGCCCCUGAGAAUUGGCUGGAGGUUGGCUGAUCUAGGCUGGGCACAGAUGGGGUGGCUUGGCUGGGGCAGGUCUUCUCCAUGUGCCUUUCGUUCUCCUAGACUGGCAGGCCAGCCAGAGCAUGUCCUCCGCAUGUGUAGAAGUUCACCAGCGCGGGCAGAAUCAAGCCAGGCUGCUUAAGGCCUGGGCCUGGACUGGGCAUGCUGUGGCUUCUGCAUUAUUCUAUUGGCCAAAGUAAGUUACACGACUCAGCUGAAAAAUCAAAGGGCAGGUAAAUAUGCUCCUCCUUAAUGGGAAAAAUCCCAAAGUUACGUCACUAGAUGAUCUGUAAGCUGCCUUACCAUGGCUUGGUGCUAAGACCCUUACGUGUGGUUGAGGUCAGGCAGAGAGCUGCCCCCAGAAGAAAUGUCUGGCAGCACAUGGUUCUGCUGCCAGGAGACAGCCGGCAGAAUGGAAAGAGGACUCAGACUGGACCCUGAGAACUUGAACAUCUCAUGGCCUGGUGAAAGAUAAGGACUGAAAAACAUCUUUGGCAUUUAGCAACAAGGAAGUCACCGAUGACUCUUGCAGGAACCUUGGAGCUGGGGACACAAAGCUCUUGUGUUUCAGGACCUCCAUUUCUGGACCCAGGGACUUGGGA